CAAGGAAGCAGAAGUGUCAGCAGGCUAUUCGUUUUCUCCUCAUUGACCCAUUUGUGUCUUCAUACUCAGUCUGAAGCUGCCACAUUGUAGGAGCGCAUUCGUGAUUCAUGCUGGACAUCCACUGAAAUUCUGAAAGGGCAUUGCCAAGAAGGACCUCCUUCAAAGGACAGCUCCUCAACGUGGUGACAACUCAAUGACCCAGCAACUUGGUCACGAUCUCUUGAGCUGGGAAGUCCUCCGAUCAUAGAUUUUCAAGGCCGCUGUCUAUGGAAAGGGAAUCUUCAGGCUCUCAAACCAGCUUCCCCUCUGCCGAGCUGCCAACGCAUGCUCCCUGAUGGAGGCCUCUUAACCAGCCCACUAGCACCAUCUCCUUCCCACUGAGGUUUCUGACUCACAGCUGCAGCAACGCCUGGCACCCUCAGAACACAUCUUGCAAACUGCACUGGGGCUGCCUCUCUGGUUUGCCCCCCUGGACACCAGAUCCAAGACGACAGCCAGAACUGAGUUCUUCGCAGGGCCAUGUUGAACAGCUAACACUGAGGAUGAAGCUCUGAGAUAGAUGUUCUAGAAAUCCUGCUGUCCCAGCCCCGCCACUGGCUAUGUGAACUGAUGGUGCUCCUCCUCGUUCCAGGAAGGUAACUCAGAAAUCAUCACCCUUUGCCUUUUCCCACAGCACCAUUAAACAGGGGCAGGCAAGAAAUGGCCAAGUCUGACAGGAGCCAGCCCAGGACAGAGAAAUGUUCCCCUUGGCUACUCACCCCUGACAGCGCGGCCAGUGUCCCAGGAAUGUCACGUGGGCCUCUCUCCAGACCUGGGGAUGAGCUGAGCUGCGACAAGUGAAAAUGUUAUGGAACAAAAUGGCCGACACACUGAGAUUUAUCUGUUAACACACGGAUACUGGGCACCCUGGGGAGGCCGAAGAAAGAGUUCUGUCUGCUGAACUGUGCCCACAGCCGCCUUCAGCCCAACAGCACCGGGUGCCAACACGCUGUGUCUCUGAUUCCUUUUCCCUUUCUGCAGUUUUUGCAACCCCGUAAUUGCCUUGGUAGAACUUAGAUGUUCUGACUGAAAUGAUCUUCCCAAUAAUUCUAGUCUCUUUUAGUGAGAAAUACUAUACAAAAAUUUGGGCUUCCCUGGUGGCUCAGUUGGUGAAGAAUCCACCUGCCAUGCAUGAGACCCAGGUUCGAUCCCUGGGUUGGGAAGAUCCCCUGGAGGAGGGCAAGGCAACCCACUCCAGUAUCCUUUCCUGGAGAAUCCCAUGGACAGAGGAGCCUGGCGAGCUGCAGUCCAUGGGGUCACAAAGGGUCAGAGACAACAGAGCGACUCAGCACAUACACAUAUUUAUGUCAUGAAGUACCACAAACUGGAUGGCUUAAGACAGUAAAAAUCCACUGUUUCAUGUUCUGGAGGCUGGAAGCCCAAAAUCAAGGUGUCUGAAGGGCCUCUCUCCCUCGGAAGGAGACAUUUUGGCUUGUUCCUCGCUCUGGAGAUGUGAGUGUCCUGUGACUGGUGGACGACUGUCUUCAUAUCAUCGUCCCUCUCUGCAUGCCUCUCUUUGUCCAAAUGUCCCCUUUUCAUAAGGACACCAGUCACACUGGAUUAGGGUUCACCCUAAUGACCUCAGUUUAAUUCAAUUAGCUCUGUAAAAGCCUGGUUUCCAAACAAGGUCACAUUCUGAGGGACUAAUGGGUUUAGGACUUCAAUAUAUCUCUUCAGAGACAUAAUUCAACACAUACCAAUACCUAAAUCUCAGAACCAGAGUUGGAACUCAGAGCCACUAUGUGGCUUGCUCAGGCCCACAUUUUUCUCAGAGGAAUUAAGAGCUGGGAUGUGUGGAGUUUCUCUGGAAGCCAAUCUGCCUCACAGUGGUAACAACUUGCAGCAGUAGGUUUAGCUCCAAAUGAAGAGCGCUUCUUAGCCAAGUAUUUUACUGGCUAUUGCUAGUGUGGCCCAGUGCAGGCUGCAGAAUAAACCUGAGGGCUUAGCGUGUUUUUUUCUCACAGGGCUCUGGAGCAGCGGGCUGACUUUUUCUCUCUGAGCCUGAGGAGAGGCAGGGUUUUUGGACAGGGCAAGCCCGUGACCACUCACCCUGCUAGGGAGACACCCCAGGCAGGGCCUCCUCUGCUCCAGGUCUCCAGCCCAUGAUGCAAAGACUCUCUGGGUUGAGGGAGUGACUGUGGCGGGGCUCCAUGUGGCUGUGCUUGGCAGGAACAACCGUUCUCUUACCUUGGAGAGUUCUCACCACGCCUCAGGCAAGUGACUGGCCGGUGAACACAGCACUGCGUAUCCAGCAUCUACUUCAGUCUAAGUGAGUCUAACUAGCAACUGAAGGGUGCUUAACGUGGGAUUAAGACAGCAUUUCUGGGAGACUGGAAAUCACUCAUUUGAGAUUCUGCUGUGAUGUGAGCUCCACCAACCCACUGCUUCCUUCAGACUAGGACAAGCCAAAUAAAAUAUUAUUCCUUUUUA